GAGAAGAGAAGAGAAGAGAAGAAAAGAAAAGAAAAGAAAAGAAAAGAAAUGCAGCCAGAAGCUUUGUACAACUGUGGAGACUUCCCUUCUAGAAAUCUUUCCUUUUGUUCCUCUCAGGGUUCAAGCAGUUUCCAUCCAUCUCCUGGAAGCAACUGCAGGAAAACCCACUCAGAUCACAUAAGGAAAGGGGAUAAGAAGACAGAAUCUUAUUUGCUAUAGGAUUUUAAAAACUUCCUCUAAACUGUCAUCGAUAGCAUUGUUCAUCCCCAGAAACUGGCCUUUUAAGGAGGAGCCCUCAAAAUAGUGUUCCUCCCUCCAACGUUCUUACCAGAGUGGGAAGACCUACCCAGUAGCUGUCCUGAAAUAGAAUCUGGAUGACAACGUGACUUGAACUGAGAUUAAAGAAGACCAAUGUGGGUAAGAGGACCCCUAUUGCUGAAGCAGUCGUGUCCAAUGGACUAGGCAGAUGAAGUCUCCGCUAAACCAUCAGAUCAAGAAACGAGCUUCCUCCACAUAAAUGGACUUGACCAUGGCUACAUCAUUAAAUCCCUGGCCACAUAACACGUGCUUGAGAAGAAAGCUUGCAUGUGCCAGGGCACCUCAUCAGUCAACCAAGCCUGGAAAGAAACUGACAUGCACCUUUGCUCUUUGGA